rnacentral:rRNA from 1 species
AGCAUGUGGUUUAAUUCGAAGCAACGCGAAGAACCUUACCAGGCCUUGACAUGCAGAGAACUUUCCAGAGAUGGAUUGGUGCCUUCGGGAACUCUGACACAGGUGCUGCAUGGCUGUCGUCAGCUCGUGUCGUGAGAUGUUGGGUUAAGUCCCGUAACGAGCGCAACCCUUGUCCUUAGUUACCAGCACGUUAUGGUGGGCACUCUAAGGAGACUGCCGGUGACAAACCGGAGGAAGGUGGGGAUGACGUCAAGUCAUCGUGGCCCUUACGGCCUGGGCUACACACGUGCUACAAUGGUCGGUACAAAGGGUUGCCAAGCCGCGAGGUGGAGCUAAUCCCAUAAAACCGAUCGUAGUCCGGAUCGCAGUCUGCAACUCGACUGCGUGAAGUCGGAAUCGCUAGUAAUCGUGAAUCAGAAUGUCACGGUGAAUACGUUCCCGGGCCUU